UUAUGGUUAAGCUACUAAGAGCACACGGAGGAUGCCUAGGCGCUAGGAGCCGAAGAAGGACGUGGCGAACAACGAAACUGCCUCGGGGAGC
rnacentral:rRNA from 1 species